rnacentral:rRNA from 1 species
GAAACGACUGCUAAGACUGGAUAGGAGACAAGAAGGCAUCUUCUUGUUUUUAAAAGACCUAGCAAUAGGUAUGCUUAGGGAGGAGCUUGCGUCACAUUAGUUAGUUGGUGGGGUAAAGGCCUACCAAGACUAUGAUGUGUAGCCGGGCUGAGAGGUUGAACGGCCACAUUGGGACUGAGACACGGCCCAAACUCCUACGGGAGGCAGCAGUAGGGAAUUUUCGGCAAUGGAGGAAACUCUGACCGAGCAACGCCGCGUGAACGAUGAAGUAUUUCGGUACGUAAAGUUCUUUUAUUAGGGAAGAAUAAAUGAUGGAAAAAUCAUUCUGACUGUACCUAAUGAAUAAGCCCCGGCUAACUAUGUGCCAGCAGCCGCGGUAAUACAUAGGGGGCAAGCGUUAUCCGGAAUUAUUGGGCGUAAAGGGUGCGUAGGCGGUUAAAUAAGUUUAUGGUCUAAGUGCAAUGCUCAACAUUGUGAUGCUAUAAAAACUGUUUAGCUAGAGUAAGAUAGAGGCAAGUGGAAUUCCAUGUGUAGUGGUAAAAUGCGUAAAUAUAUGGAGGAACACCAGUAGCGAAGGCGGCUUGCUGGGUCUUUACUGACGCUGAGGCACGAAAGCGUGGGGAGCAAACAGGAUUAGAUACCCUGGUAGUCCACGCCGUAAACGAUGAGUACUAAACGUUGGGUAAAACCAGUGUUGAAGUUAACACAUUAAGUACUCCGCCUGAGUAGUACGUACGCAAGUAUGAAACUUAAAGGAAUUGACGGGACUCCGCACAAGCGGUGGAUCAUGUUGUUUAAUUUGAAGGUACCCGAAAAACCUCACCAGGUCUUGACAUGCUUUUGCAAAGCUGUAGAAACACAGUGGAGGUUAUCAGUUGCACAGGUGGUGCAUGGUUGUCGUCAGCUCGUGUCGUGAGAUGUUGGGUUAAGUCCCGCAACGAGCGCAACCCUUAUUGUUAGUUACCAGCACGUAAUGGUGGGGACUUUAGCAAGACUGCCAGUGAUAAAUUGGAGGAAGGUGGGGACGACGUCAAAUCAUCAUGCCCCUUAUGACCUGGGCUACAAACGUGAUACAAUGGCUGUUACAAAGGGUAGCUGAAGCGCAAGUUUUUGGCGAAUCUCAAAAAAACAGUUUCAGUUCGGAUUGAAGUUUGCAACUUGACUUCAUGAAGUUGGAAUCGCUAGUAAUCGCGAAUCAGCAUGUCGCGGUGAAUACGUUCUCGGGGUUUGUACACCCCGCCCGUCA